UUGGGAAGAUGUUUAGAUAUUCUUAGAACUCUGCGUGUAUGCAGCCAAAGCCGACAUGGAAGUCGGCUUAGAUGCCACAGGGCAGGGAUGCCCGGCUGGCAUCGGUGGCGUGAGGGUAGAAGGUUAUCAACAGAGUUCUUAGAAUAUCUUAACUUCGGACAAC
rfam:Firmicutes bacterium CAG:882 genomic scaffold, scf316